rnacentral:rRNA from 1 species
GGAAUAUUGGACAAUGGGCGCAAGCCUGAUCCAGCAAUGCCGCGUGUGUGAAGAAGGCCCUAGGGUUGUAAAGCACUUUCAGUGGGGAAGAAACAGCGAGCGUGAAUACCGCUCGUGAAUGACGUUACCCACAGAAGAAGCACCGGCUAACUCCGUGCCAGCAGCCGCGGUAAUACGGAGGGUGCGAGCGUUAAUCGGAAUUACUGGGCGUAAAGGGCGCGUAGGUGGCCUGAUAAGUCGGAUGUGAAAGCCCCGGGCUUAACCUGGGAACUGCAUUCGAUACUGUCAGGCUUGAGUAUGGUAGAGGGAAGCGGAAUUCCCGGUGUAGCGGUGAAAUGCGUAGAUAUCGGGAGGAACAUCAGUGGCGAAGGCGGCUUCCUGGACCAAUACUGACACUGAGGCGCGAAAGCGUGGGGAGCA